UACUAGAGUAGCACUCGCAUAUCAAUAAGCGGAGGAAAAGAAACUAACAAGGAUUCCCCUAGUAACGGCGAGUGAAGCGGGAAGAGCUCAAAUUUGAAAUCUUAAAGGGUUUCCCUUUACGAAUUGUAGUUUAAAGAAGUGUUUUCUGUUGAGGUUUUGGUAAAAGUUCUUUGGAAUAGGACAUCAUAGAGGGUGAGAAUCCCGUAUUUGACCUUUACUUUCAACUUUGUGAUACACUUUCAAAGAGUCGGAUUGUUUGGGAAUGCAGUCCAAAAUGGGUGGUAAAUUUCAUCUAAAGCUAAAUAUUGGCGAGAGACCGAUAGCGAACAAGUACCGUGAGGGAAAGAUGAAAAGAACUUUGAAAAGAGAGUUAAACAGUACGUGAAAUUGUCAAAAGGGAAGCGUUUGACACCAGUGUUGUUUUUCUGAAAAUCAAUUAAAGAACUGUUUAUGCUAAGUUGUUUAGACUUUAUCAGCUAUCUGUUUAGUUUUGAGCUUUUCUUUAAUGCACUUUUCAGUUAACAAGUCAACAUCAAUUUCUUUUGCUGUAAAAAAGCUUGAGGAAGGUGGCUUGAGAUUCGUCUUAAGUGUUUAUAGCCUCUUGCCUAUGCAGUCGGAGAGAUUGAGGUCUGCAGCGUAGAUCCUUCGGGGCUAAAUGCAUUUGUGCUAAGUUAUAGCAUUUUAUAGACAACUUGUUGACCAUGAUUUGUCUUGUAGCUUACUCGCUUAUGUUAUUUUACCUACGCUUAGGAUGUUGAUCUCUCACAGUCGAGC
rnacentral:rRNA from 1 species